rnacentral:rRNA from 1 species
GAUGAACGCUAGCGGCAGGCUUAACACAUGCAAGUCGAGGGGUAUAGGUUUUCGGACCUAGAGACCGGCGCACGGGUGCGUAACGCGUAUGCAAUCUACCUUUCACAGAGGGAUAGCACAGAGAAAUUUGGAUUAAUACCUCAUAGUAUUAUGAAGUGGCAUCAUUUUAUAAUUAAAGUUCCAACGGUGAAAGAUGAGCAUGCGUCCCAUUAGCUAGAUGGUAAGGUAACGGCUUACCAUGGCGACGAUGGGUAGGGGUCCUGAGAGGGAGAUCCCCCACACUGGUACUGAGACACGGACCAGACUCCUACGGGAGGCAGCAGUGAGGAAUAUUGGUCAAUGGACGCAAGUCUGAACCAGCCAUGCCGCGUGCAGGAUGACGGUCCUAUGGAUUGUAAACUGCUUUUGUACGAGAAGAAACACUCCUUCGUGAAGGAGCUUGACGGUAUCGUAAGAAUAAGGAUCGGCUAACUCCGUGCCAGCAGCCGCCGUAAGAC